UGGCGGACGGGUGAGUAACGCGUGGGUAACCUGCCUCAUACAGGGGGAUAACAGUUGGAAACGACUGCUAAUACCGCAUAAGCGCACAGGGUCGCAUGACCUGGUGUGAAAAACUCCGGUGGUAUGAGAUGGACCCGCGUCUGAUUAGCCAGUUGGUGGGGUAACGGCCUACCAAAGCGACGAUCAGUAGCCGACCUGGGAGGGUGACCGGCCACAUUGGGACUGAGACACGGCCCAAACUCCUACGGGAGGCAGCAUG
rnacentral:rRNA from 1 species